AUUACCGCGGCUGCUGGCACGAAGUUAGCCGGGGCUUCUUCUCCGAAUACCGUCAUUAGCUUAUCCGAUGAAAGACCUUUACUUCCUCCUCGCCGACAUCGCUCUACCACCAUGAGGGGAUCAUGCUUGCGCCCAUUGUCCAGCAUUCCCCAUGGCUGCCUCGCGCAAG
rnacentral:rRNA from 1 species